AUGAGCUUUUGAUGGCCUUUGAAUUGGUUUAGUUUCCUGGCUGCUAUACAGUACACAUGUUUCUAUUUGUUCUCAAUUGCUCAUGGAUAAAGUAUGUUUCCUCCUUGAAAAGUUUAAGAAAUUUUAAUUGCAUACUUUAUAUUUAAUUUUGUUAAAUUUCAAUCUAUAUGUAUGUAAUGAUAAUUACCGUUGAUAAGUUCUAAUUAUAUUCUUAUUGUCUAAAAAUAGAGAUUAAUUUUUGUGUUAUAUACUGAUAUUAGUAUACUAUAAUUAUUAAUAAACAAAAUUUUAAGGAGAUGGGAGUUUCAAAUUUAAAUUUUAAUGUUCAUAGAAUAUGUACACAUGUUGCUCAGUUAUGACAAUCAUUUAUACAUGUUUGAUUUCUUAACUUUUUUUUUAUUUGUUUCUUUUUUUGUAUUGAUUUGAUUUCUUAAUUAUAUCCUUCUUUUAUUUCCUUUUUUAUCUGCACAACAAAGCAUUUGUGCAACGCAUUUUCAACUAUUUUUUUACAUAAUAUACAAAGUGCUGUGUUGGUUAAAUUAGUUUUUGGCCAUCUAAAUUAUUAAGUGCUUUUAGUAGCCAAGUCCAUUGAAUUUUGGUGCUAAUCCAAGUCAUUGAGUUUAUCAUGUGAUUUACAGUUUUCGCUUAUCAUUUAUGACAGUGAGCUUUGGAAUCGAGUUUAGCAUUUACAAGUUUGCGAUAAGUACCUCAUAACAAGAUGAAUGGUGAAAAUAUCGAGGAUGCGAAUGUAGAAGACAAAACGAACGUCAUACCUGACUUAGGAUUUCAAGUAAAUCAAGUCAUAUCUACUGACCUGUAUCAUCCUGAAUCAAUACAAAUCUUAACUCGUGUCAGGGAAGAGUUAGAAAAGAGACAACAUAUUUGUGUCACAUCUCUUUCAUGUGUUACGGUGCAUACGUUGUAUUCUUUAGAAUUUUUAUCACAAUAUAGGCCUAGACAAAUCAGUUACGAAAAUUUGGAAAGAGAAAAUAGGCGUACGCAGUUAAUGACACAGUUACUGAAGCAUAUGCCAAUGUUGUGAAGACUUUGAGCAUAGCAAUAGGCUCUCACAUAACAAAGAAUCACAUAAAGAAUAGAAUGAAGACAUUGAAAGAUCAUUUUGCUGAGACAUAUGACUUAUUUCAUCACUUAAGUGAAUUUGCAUGGAAUCCUGUAACUAGAAACUUUGAAGCUGAAGAGGAAGUUUGGCAAGACUUCAUUAAGGAGAAACCACAAGCAGAAAAAUGGAAAAAAAUGCAAAUUAAGCAUUAUGAUACUUUGAAGGAGUUGUUCGGAGCUGAUAGAGCUACUGAUAAAGGGGCUACUACGUCACGAGAAAUAAUUCAAGAAAUUGCUAGAGAUCACAUUGAUUUGAAUGACUCAUUUGAAAACGUUGGAUUUUCUGACAUAGAUGUUAAUAUGGGACAUGAUACCCUAACAUUUCCUGCUAAUUUAGAUUCACCAAGUGGUCCUCAUAGUCAACUAAAUCAAUUAGGUGGGACUUCAACGUCAAGAAGAACAAAGCGUAAGUCUCCUAUGAAUGCUUUUUUGGAGGCACAAUAUGAGAAAGUUGCUUUGGGAAUUACUACCAUGGCCGAUGCUGGCAAAGAGGGUACUUAUCUGUCUAGCAAGCUACAUGAUGUAGCUCAGAGGCAGGAUGAAUCAGCUGAGAGACAAGCUUCUGUGGUUGAGAGGCAAGUUUCGAUUGCCGAAAAGCAAGUCUCGUUAAUUGAAAGACAAGUUGCAAUUGCUGAAAAAUGGUUGGCUAUUAUGCAACAAAGUAGGCCUCGCCUUUAUAGCGAAUCAAAUGUAUGAGAUAUGUUGACUGAAUUGAGUCUGAUAGGAUCAGCUCGGAUGCAGUGUUAUCAGUUUUUAUGUGAAAAUGAGCAGAAAAAGCGCCAAAUUUUUGGGAUCCCACCUAAAAUGCGAUUGGAUGCUCUUUUUCAUUUCAUGACAGCUGCUGGUGUUCGCUUAGGAGAUAUGGUACUUUCAUAAAACAUUAACCAUUACAGGAAUCAUAACUUGAAAAUGUUUGGGAACAAGAAGUACAUUGCUUAGUACAAGUAAAAAUUUAUCAUGUGUUAAUAUUUUUUACUCGGAAAAACUUUAUUUUUUUGAAGUAGAUGGGUACAGAUGGCUCAAGCUAUGUAGAAUUGAUUUUUUGGAAGUAGGCGAUGUCGCUGACCAUGAAGAAUUACCCUUUUGAAAAGUGUUGUCUGGUGAUAAAAUAGUACUCUCUAGAAGUUCUUUUGGUUAUUACUUUUUUGGCGUUUUGUUUUAUGUUUAUAAAAAUUGUAUAUGAUUUUUGGUCGCACGUACUUGGAAAGAAAUGCUACCAACUUUUGAUAAUAUUUUAUUUUGUAAAUACAAUUUAGUGAAAUUUUUU